GAGAAGCCUCAGCCACAGGUGUUGGUGACCCCUCCUGCAAGCUGUGACUCGGAGCUGGCGUGAACUCAGCCCGCAGGCAGGCAUUCCCUUUUGGCUUUGUGUGAGAGCAUGGCAGCUAAAAGUGAUGGGCGCCAUUUUUACGGAGCGCGUCCUGCUGUGAUUUCUCAUUUCCACGAACAGCAAAGGUCGUGGCCUCGCUUCAUGCUUGGCUGCCUUCAUCCCUGUGUGAGAUCAAGAGGUGCCCGUUGUCUUCCUGAGCUCCUCCAAGUCUCUCUCUCCGUGCUGCACCCCAGGGAGACUCACAGCAGCUGCUCCAGAAUCAGGAGCAACGAGUGCAGGUGUCAGACAGGGCUGGCCGAGCCCUCGUUGUGCCUGGCCUCAGUGCUGCGACGGUGUUUUGGGCUGCCAGCGAAGGAGUGAGAAGGUCAGAUGAACACAAAUGCAUCCGUUCACAUGUAAUUCCUCAUCCCACAGACACCGGGGCCAGGUCACCCUGCUGCUGGUGGGUGUUCUCCACGGGGCUCAGUGGGAUGGAAAGGGUAAAAGGGGUGCCCGGGCUGCAAUGAGCCAGGGAUAGAGGCCAGGCUGUCACAUACACAGGUCUCCAGGGCUUUAACCUCCAGACCACAGCUCUCAGCUCCUUCUGAAAAAGGACAAAGCUGCUCAGCAAAACUGUGGAACUGGGAGGCUUGUGGGCUGAAAUGAGUCCAAAAGACAUAUUAACAAGCAUGAGAGGCCUGUGAUGAAAUAGCUAAGGUAUUAAUGCAGCCAGAGGCUGGUAAUGAAUACAAGAAAUGCCCACGUUUACCCAAGAGGUCCCAAAGGUCUCUUUGCCCAGAACAUUGUGAUCCUUAAAGGAAUAUUUUAAAGUUACACUGCAGGAUUAGGGCUCUAGGAACAAAAUCUGAGCUGGUGUGGUCUCUUGGCUGCUCUGACCUCUUGGCUGAUGAGACCCCAUUAUGAGCCUUGUGCUGUUUAUUAUCCUCUGAGGUUUAUCACCCAGGGGCCACUCUGAGCCUUGUCAGAUGUAGGUGCCCCCUGGCCCCUGUGGACUGCAUGAGUCUCUCACUGUGCCCUAUGGAUGUGAUGGAGGUACCAAAGCUCUUUUUUUCAGAUGAGACUCUGUCAUCUGAUGGGAGAGAGGAUCCUGAAUGCUCAGAUAUAACCUGGUGACGUACAAAAUGUCUUCCAAUUCUCCCCUCUCUCCCCAUCUCUCAGCUGCUGGACGAAAUCCAUGCAUGCAAAGCAUGGGCCAGCACAGGCUGAACUGCCACCAUCAUGUUUCACCUGCACUGCUUUUCCUUGGUCCUUUUCCAUUAUUUCUCUAGUGCUCAGCAGCCAUGGAAAUGACCCGUUGGUGCUGAGCAGAGCUGGGCUGCAAGGGGAAGAUGUGAGCUGGAAGCUGGUGAGUGCAGACACUUGUUGAAUGGCUGAGCACCCCUGGUUUCGGCUAUGAUACAAACACCAUGGUGGUGAGAAAACCAAAACAGGUUUGAUGGAUCUUCCUCUAAAGUUAAUUCCAAACUAGUGCCCAUCUGGCCUGUUUUUUGGAGAGCUGAACCCAGCUUUUAGGAGUAACUCAAUGAAGUCUUGCACUUUUUUUUACCCAUACAAGGGAAACAGUCCCAUUCUUGGUGUGGGAAGGUCCUGUCUGCCCCUGAGGCUGCACCCACACUGCUCAACCCAGGGCUGGGUCUCCUUUAGCCUUUCUGUUCCUGAGUAAUUGCUCUUUAUUUAUUUAUUUAUUUAUUUAUUUAUUUAUUAUUAUUUUUAAUAUAUCUCCUUUUUCCCAUUCAGGUUGCCCCAAUGAAGAAGAGUUGGUGAGAGGAGGCCUCACCAGGUACUGGACUGCUUGGCAUGAAAACAACAAUACACUGUUGUUAUUUUGUGCACCUGAUGUGAUAGUCCUUAGAGCCGUUCUUUGCUUCAAUCGUUUACAAGCCCUGAUUUUAGUCCAAAACAAGCUUCCUUGAAAUAAAAUAAUCAUUUUCCAGUCUUCCUGUAGAAGC
rnacentral:lncRNA from 1 species